UACGUAGGGGGCAAGCGUUGUCCGGAUUUAUUGGGCGUAAAGAGCGUGUAGGCGGCCAGGUAGGUCGGUUGUGAAAACUCGAGGCUCAACCUCGAGAUGUCGACCGAAACCAUCUGGCUAGAGUCCGGAAGAGGAGAAUGGAAUUCCCGGUGUAGCGGUGAAAUGCGCAGAUAUGCGGAGGAACACCGAUGGCGAAGGCAAUCCCCUGGGCCUGCACUGACGCUCAUGCACGAAAGCUAGGGGAGCAAACGGG
rnacentral:rRNA from 1 species